CUCAAGUCCAAUGAGCUAUUGCAACACCAUGGCCUUGACAAUAACUAAUAGUUUUCUCACCUUGGAAUGGCAGAACCCUGAUUUCAUUUGUCUAUCUCCUGAUGAAGAUGAGUUUCAAGAGGAGACUCACUACUCUAAGCUAACCAUUGUAAAUCCAUUCUCAUUUUGUGACAAUAAUUUAGGAGCACCAUAAAUGUAAACCACCUCUAGCCAAUGAGACAUAAGCAAGAUCAUCUGAAAUGAACUUCUGGAAAAUUUUCCUCAAUCUCAGAAGGAGAUUUAUUCCCUCCCCCUCACCAGAAUUUCCAAGGCUUUACACCUUAAUGAAACUGUCACAAGUCCCCAAGGGGAACCAACUGCUACUUCUAAUGGGGAAGAAUGCUUGCAUCUAUAGGUUCCAUUAGGUGCCUGCUGUAUGUCAAAUAUUUUUCUAUGCAUUUCACAUGCAUUUUUAACACUUAACCUCCAUAUCCUUAGGACUAUCUCUAGAAAUGUAGAUGCUUAAGAAAAUUACCUUUUACACAGAGUUUGCUAAACAGAGAGUGGAAAUCAGACAGCUUGAACUUAAGAAUAGAGUAAAAUGGAUAUUAAGAUACUUGAAAUAUUGAUUAGGAAUAUGUAUCAUGUCAAAUUCUGGGGUAAAAGAGAAAUAUAAGUCGAAAUUUCCAACUUUUUUCUCUUUUUAAAACUUGAAUUAAUAAUCUGGGGUAGUAAGUUUCUUUGUUGCUGUUAAAAAAUAAAAAGAAACUCUAUCAGUUACACUCACAUGAAGCAAAGAUUCUCUGUAGUCCAGAAAACUUUUGGAAUAGCUUCUAGAAGCUGCACGAAUCAAAACUGCUUUGAGGUCUUUGCUACUUACAUAAAGAGGAGACACAUUUACCUUUAAUAGAAAUGGGCUUCGUGGAGAGGAAAAGGAUGGAGAGUAAAUUGUCGCAUAAGCAUUAUUCGCCCCUCUUGGACUCCCAGACGGAUUUUGAGCCUCUAUUGUCAUUUUGAUGUCUGCAAUCAAAAUCUAGGGAGUUUUCCAAAAUCCCUAAUAAAAUAUCAAAUAUUUGAUAUCAUUCCUUCCCCAAGGGUAACAAAUAUUUUCAAUAUUUGACAUUGUGCAGUUAAACAUAUUGCUGCCUUAUGUAGAAAAGUGGGUUAAAUACUUCUCUCAUUGUUUUAGAAUUAUUUCCCCUUCUUCCAUUUGCUACAUUUGAUCUCUAUAAUUCUGGUACUUGUUUGACCAUAGACUAGUGAUCAUGCCACCUAGGUCUUUUGUAACAUUCAACCCUUCAGAACGUAACAAUGGGAAAUAACACAGGUGUUAAUUGGACACAGAGAGAUUUGAAGGAAACUCCCAAAUUAGAGUGAAAGUUGCAAUCUGUCCACUGUGAACAAGCGUGGUAUUUUCUGCUACCCAUAUCAUAACAUAGAGGCCUAUGUGAAGUAAAUAGACUAAAAUUAGUUCAAGCUAAAGGGAUUUACUUUUACCAAUAAAAUUGUAUUUCUCGAAAAUGCGUAACUCUGACACAGAUUUGAGAUGCUGCAGGGCCCACCUCUUAUGAACCUUUUUUGUUACUUGCAAUGAUAGAAUCCCCUUAUGUAUUGGCAGAGUGUUGUGCCAAGGCAUCCUUCUAGUUUACUUCAGGAACCUCAAGGAGUAACAAACGGUGAAGAAAAAAUAUUGACAUUAGGAGAAUAAAGACCAGAAACUUUUUCCUUGUUGUUGUCGAUGAUGUUACUUGUUUGUUUUCUAUUAGAGACAUUAACUAAAACACUGCUCAGAGUGAAAUCCCAAAGCUGAAAGAACAUUUAAUGAGAGAAUUUUAAUAUGUACACUGUGGCUUGGGUGGAAAAAUAUCAAAAAUGGUUAAUAAAAUGUUUUCUCUGGAUAUGAAAAGAAUAGAGAACUAUUCUGACAUUCAGAAUUGAGAUAUCUGGGAACAGCACUUUUGCUGUAGACCAGAGGUUCCCAAAUUUUGCAGCUAGCAGAGCCCUUAUUCUGACCUGAUUUUUUAAAUGGUUCCUCUCCGUAAAAGAAAUACUAAUCAAUUUCAUUUAUUAAGUAGUUAACCUAAACAGUACAACUAUUUUAAAACUAUACCUAUAAAUUGUAAGAAAAUAUUUUAUUACAUCAUUAAAAAACCACAAUGUCGUAUACGAUGGAUAUAUUUACCUUUUGCACACUUUAUAGCUUCUUGAAUUUUGGAAUUAGAUUGGACGCCAGUAUUCCAAAAAUCUGUUUCGUGGUAGCUUUCCUCAGUAUGUGAUUUUUAUUAUAGCAAUUUCUGAAAACACAGAUUUGCAAAGACAUGAUGCCAUUGAAAGGAAUUCAAUGUUCAUUAGUAUUGAACUGUGAAGUAUCAUGUGAUGUAGGAUAUUUAGUAACUCUGUUGAGUGUUGCUGUGUUUUUCUUGAAAAUAUAAAAUGCAAUGCAUUAUUCCAUGGGAACUGGGUGAAUUCACUGUUGCAACCUGAGCACCUCAGCACACAUUCUGGGAACUUCUAGCACAGGCAUUGCUAUUAACACUCUGGAUAUAAACCAACACAGCUAACUCUUCCUCCAGAAAUGUUCAACUGUCAUUCAUACCAAUGCCUUGCCACAAUAGAUAUAAUAUAUAUAAAUAUAAAAUUGGAACAAAUAAUUAUACUUUUAAUUUUAAAUUAAUUAUAAUGAAUCUGGUGACUUAGCAUGUGGUUAUUAGUUUUAACCUUAUAAGAAUAAAUCACAUUAGUGUUUAAACUUCUAAAAAUGAAUUUCCUGAAUUAUGUUUAUUUAUUUACACAUCCCUUGUAUCAUAUGAUAUUCCAAUUCUUUAUUAGAAUAAUUUUCAAAUUCUAUUAAAUGUUAAUAUCUUCAGUACAUCUAGAGCUUGCCUUGUGUACACAUAUACGCAAAUAUAUACAUAUUUUGUUAGAUGGCUAAGUUUCUUGAAAAUUAACAGUCUACUGUAUUAUUACUGCGUGGUAUAUUAAUUUUUAAAAUAAACACAUUUAAUGCUUGCUAUGUGCCAAGGAGUAUUCUAAAUGUUAAUUUGUGUCUGCCUCAUAACAACCUUAUAAGUUACUGUAAUUUACAUCAUUAAGCUGAAAUCGAGUCAAGCCAUACCUUUUGAUAAGAUGCAAAGAUGAUAACUAACAAUUACUUAUUUUUUGCCAGAUAUGAGAAACUGUCUUAAAUGCUUUAAAUAUAUUAAAUACUUUAAUAUUUACAAUUACGACCAUGCACCACAUAAUGACAUUUCU
rnacentral:lncRNA from 1 species